CUUUCUUAUUUUAUUCUCUCUCUCUCUCUUUCUCUCUCUCACCCACACACCCCCACAUAGUUUCUUAUUUUCAGCUUCCUCUUUCGAGGGCUCUAUUGUCUUUCUAUUCUGGAAUUGGAUUCCCCUUUUGAAUUUGCUUUCCCUGGAAAAUCCAUUUUGCAAGAUCUGAUACACCUGUUAGCUUGUUUAUAUACUGCAUGCAUGGGAGCAGUGGUUGUCUUGGAUGCUACAAAA
rnacentral:misc_RNA from 1 species